UCCGAGUUGACCCCGGCAGUCUCCCAUGAGUCCCCGCCAUAACGCGCUGGCAACAUGGAACGAGGGUUGCGCUCGUUGCGGGACUUAACCCAACAUCUCACGACACGAGCUGACGACAGCCAUGCAGCACCUGUGUUCCGUCCGGCCGAACCGAAGGACCCCCUCUCAGGGGCCCGCGACGGACAUGUCAAGGGCUGGUAAGGUUCUGCGCGUUGCGUCGAAUUAAACCACAUGCUCCACCGCUCGUGCGGGCCCCCGUCAAUUCCUUUGAGUUUCACCCUUGCGAGCGUACUCCCCAGGUGGAACACUUAUCGCGUUGGCUGCGGCACAGACAGAUUCGACUCCGCCCACACCUAGUGUUCAUCGUUUACGGCGUGGACUAC
rnacentral:misc_RNA from 1 species